AUACAGUGCUGCUUGAAAGUUUGUGAACUAGUUGUGUAGUUUAGAUUUUUCUUAUUUUUAACCAUGAUUUUCUUAUUUUCUCAUUACCAGUUUUUGUAUAUGAAAUGUCAGGUUUAUGUUCAUCGAUUCCAUUUGCUUGUUUUGAGGGAAAUGUAUGAAUUGCAAGCAGACUAAAUGAAACAUGGAAUCAGAGCAUCUGCAAAAGUAAAUGGACCACAGCUGCACUGGUAAAGACAAUCCGGUAAAAGACUCAGGUGAAACACAUGUGAGUGCUCAAGCAAUCAACUAAGCAGACCAAUCAAAUGAGACAUCCUUGGGAAAAGUUUUGAGGUGCACUGGUUAAAUGGGAGAGGAAACCAACCAAACCACUGUUGUGUCAAGGCAUAAAGACCAGAUCAACAAUGCCGAGAGGAAAGGUGACAUCUGAGGACAUCAGAAAGAAGGUGGUAACAGGCCAUCAGUCUGGGGAAAGCUAUAAGACCAUCUCCAAAAGAUUCCAGCUUCAUCCAUCCACUGUGAGACAAAUCAUUUACAAGUGGAGGGCACUAGGCAUCACCGCAACUCUGCCCAGAAGUGGACGGCCGCAAAACUCACACAAAGAAGAACCAGAAAAAUAAUAAUGCAGGUAAAGGCCAACCCACGCAUCACCUCCAGAGAGUUGCAGACCUCUCUGUCAGCAUCUGGGAUAAAUGUACAUGCGUCUACAAUCAGGCGAAAUAUCAAUAGACAUAGCAUUCAUGGGAGAGUUGCUAGAAGGAAGCCUCUGCUUUCAAAAAAGAACAAAGCCGCCCAUUUAAACUUUGCCAGAGAGCACUUGGACAAACCAGAGGCUUUCUGGAAGUCCAUUCUCUGGACGGAUGAGUGCAAAAUUGAAUUAUUUGGCCAUAAUCACAGGCGCCAUGUUUGGAGAAAAGUAAACACUGCAUUUAAAGAAAAGAACGUCCUCCCAACAGUGAAGCAUGGUGGUGGAUAUGUGAAAGUCUGGGCCUGCUUUUCUGCCUCUGGACCUGGACGUCUCCAUAUAAUCCAGGGAACCAUCAAUUCCCAGGAUUAUCAACAAAUUCUUGACCAGAAUCUCCUGCCAACAGUCAAGGAGUUGAUGCUGGGACGGAAAUGGAUUAUGCAACAAGACAACGACCCAAAGCAUUCCAGCAAAAGUACCAAAGAUUGGCUUAAGAGAAAGGAGAUUCACACUCUGGAUUGGCCCAGUCAAAGUCCGGAUCGCAAUCCCAUAGAAAUGCUGUGCCAAGAUCUGAAACGAGCAGUACAUGCCAGAUGUCCCUCCAACCUCACUCAACUGCCAGAGUUCUGCAAGGAGGAGUGGACAAAAAUCCCAUAAAGCAGAUGUGAGACACUUGUUUGUGGUUACAGAAGAUGUUUAGUUGAAGUAAUGGCUGCAAAAGGAGGUGCUACAAGGUACUAACUGAAAGAGUUCACAUACUUUUGCACUUGGCAGAUUUUCAUUUUUUUGACAGAUAAAAUACUUUUGUUGAAUAAAUAAUGAAAACAUGUAUCCUUUUUUCUUUGUUUCCCUUAUUUGGAAGGUUUGCUUUACAAUUUGAGAUUUGGAUGUUCAUUUCACAUGAUUAUUAUAAUUCUUCUUUAGAAAAUAAUGACCAUGUUCAGGUGGUUCACAAACUUUCAAGCAGCACUGUAGGUCUCUUAUUUGUUUUAAACCCCUAUCAUACCAAACUGAAAAUGAUGGGUCAGAAAGAGAUGGAGGAAACAAAUGGUUGUUAGUCAAGGGGCAUAAAGAUGAGGCACCAACAAACUUAAAACGCUUUCUAAAUUGAAACCAGAUUUUCAGUGUAUUAAGAACAACUUGAUUAUUAGUGAAUAAAGAGGGUUUUAUAGGUAAUGAAGAAAAAAUUAGACCAGACAAUGAAGACCCAGCACCCGAAGAUAGUUCCAAUUUGCACCAAGGAGAACUGGACGAUUUUAACCAAUAACUAAUUUUUUGUAUGUGCGCAGACCAAUAAUAUGAUUGAAAAUCAGGCAAUGAAAGUCCACCACUGAGUUUACAUUUUUGCAAUAAUGUUUUACGAACUUGAGGAGGUUUCCUAUUCCAAAUAAACCCACCAAUCAACCUAUCCAAAGAAUCAAAAAAGACUUUUGGCAUAAAAAGAGGAAUAGACUGAAAUAGAAAAAGAAAUGUAGGUAAGACAUUCAUCUUGACAACAUUAAUCCUUCCCAAAAGGGAGAGAGGAAGAUUACGCCAACUCUGGAAAUCAGACGCAGUCUUUGUAAUAAGAGGCGAAAAGUUAGCAGAAGCAAGGCCAGAUGAAGAACGUGUCACAUUUAUACCAAGAUAUUUAAAUCCUGAGAUUGAGUUUGAAUGGAAAGUCAGAGUGUUGAAUAUCACAGGCAGUAGUGUUUAUGGGAAAGCAUUCACUCUUUUCACAAUUCAAUUUGUAGCCUGAAAAGGAGCUGAAAUUAUUUAAGAUAUGCAAGACAGUGGGGACAGAGGUAGCGGGAUUAGAUCCAUAAAGCAACAGAUCAUCUGCAUAUAAGGACAAUUUAUAUUCUGUCCCAUUCCGAAAAAUCCCUCUAAAUGAGGGGGAAGCGUGCAAUGCGAUAGACAAAGGCUAAAUUGCAAUAAUAAAGAGCAAAGGCGACAACGGACAGCCUUGACGUGUACCACGCCCAAGAGAGAAAUAAUCUGAGUAUAUAUCAUUAGUAUGGACACUGGCUUUGGGAGAUGCAUAAAGGAGACGAAUCCAAGAAACAAAUGUAUCACCGAAUCCGAACUUCUUCAAAACCACAAACAAGUAUUCCCAUUCCACCCUGUCAAAUGCUUUUUCAGCGUCCAGGGAAAU